rnacentral:pre_miRNA from 1 species
AUAAAUGGCAUUAUAUUUUCUCUACUAAAUUUCACUAUGAAUUUAAGGUAUUCACAGUGAAAUUUUGUAGAGAAAAUAUAAUAAAUUGCUUGU